rnacentral:lncRNA from 1 species
GGAGUCCAUAAACUACUAUAGACAUUGGCUACCUUAUUGAAGUAAUGGCCGACCCAUUAUGCUGGUUGUUGAUGCCUACUAGGAGUUAGGCUAUAGAGUAUGACAUGACCAUAUGUAUGAUAAAUAAAUUAAGAGAGAGAUGGUGAGAGAGAGAGGUCUCGUUUUUGUUUUGCAAUAUUUUUAUAACUGUACAAUAUUUUUUUUCCAAGUGGGUGUGCUGUGUGGGGUCAAAAUAGAAAUGUGUGGUGAGUUAGGGGGCACUUGCACGCCCUUUGAUGCCCCAUCGUUGCCUCUUUAAACGACCAAUUUGAGCCUUCACCACAGCCUCUUCUUACUAUAAGAAGCCCCCAACCUUCACAUUCCCACUUCUAUAUUCAAACCAAACUCAUCACAAUAAGAGAAGACCAAAGGGCAAAUUAAGCUCUCUCUCUAAUCUCUUUUCUCUCAUUCGGAAUAACAAAAAACCAUGAAGAUGAGCAGUGCUAGCAUGGGAGCCUCAAAGAGAAGAUCAUUAUCAAGCAGAGGGUUUGGAGGAGUCUUGAGAGAGCAAAGGGCUAAGCUUUACAUUAUAAGGAGAUGCGUCGUCAUGCUUCUUUGCUGGCAUGAUUAAUGAGUCUCUGUCUCUCUUCGGCCUUGAGGGCUUUCUUUUUCUUUUUCCCUUUUUGGUGGAUUGUAAAUAGCGGCAGCGGAUAGUAUCGGGGAGUUGAAACAAUUUUUGUAUCACUAAGUCCUAAGGGGCUAGCUUAGCUAUAAUAUCGAUAUAUAUACUAGAUAUAUCUUUUGAAUUACAAAGUUUGAUAUAUAUAUAUAUAUAUCAAUCAACAAAUUAAGCUCUAUGCAUGGUUGCUCAUAUAACAUUCUUUAUUCUUUUACACUCUCUUCUUUGUUCUGUAUUUGCCUCUCUUUGAAACAAGUAUGUAUGUUCAUUGAUAGAUUGCCUUGAAAACAAAAGCUUGGCCGUGGAAUGAAGUUUCUGUUUCUUUCACAGCAUCUCUUAGUCUUUCGCAAUACACAAUCGAUAUUUUAGAUCAUCAGCAUAAGGUCAAAGCAACAUUUUACGCUUAUGUUUCCGCCUCAAAUUCAUUUACUUCAAGGAUUUCAAAAUGGAAGCAACUUCCAUGAAUGACCAUUAAUAUUCUUGACAUCGAAAGAGAGAGAGAUAACAGAAACGAGUUAUGUAAGUUGGAGUUUGUUUUAUUUUCUCUCACCUGAAUUCCUAGGCUUUUUUAUUUCCAUAUAAUAACCUCCUUUAACUUCACGGCAAAUGGCUUUCAUUAUAAAACAAUUUCUUUAUCAUUUUUUAAACAACUGCAGUACAAUUUAUUGGAAUCUUGUCUAUAGAGCUCUGUUACAGCACGCUCUAUUGUGUAAGCUCAAAACGAAAAAAAUCUGUCUCUAAAUAAUUGGGAGAAAAAAAAAUCAAAUUGCA